UACGUAGGUGACAAGCGUUGUCCGGAUUUACUGGGCGUAAAGAGCGCGCAGGCGGUCGUUCAAGUCGAGUGUGAAAGCCCCCGGCUCAACUGGGGAGGGUCACUCGAUACUGAUCGACUUGAAGGCAGGAGAGGGAAGUGGAAUUCCCGGUGUAGUGGUGAAAUGCGUAGAUAUCGGGAGGAACACCAGUGGCGAAGGCGACUUCCUGGCCUGUUCUUGACGCUGAGGCGCGAAAGCUAGGGGAGCAAACGGGG
rnacentral:rRNA from 1 species